CUUGGUUACUUUAAAACCCCGUAUACGCCUCUGAGGCGCGGAUUCGACACUUUCUACGGGUAUUAUACCGGCAGAGAGGACUACUACGACCACACAUCUGGCGAGGAGCACGUCGGCCUUGACCUGAGGGACAACGAGACGCCGGACUGGGGAGAAAACGGAACUUACGCUACUCGCCUGUUCACCGAUAAGUUCAUUACUCUCAUUGAGAAUCACGACAAAUCUAAGCCAUUUUUUGGCUUUUUCAGCCAUAUAUCUCCGCACGUCGGAGGAAAUGCAGAUCCUUUUCAAGCGCCCCG
rnacentral:lncRNA from 1 species